UACAGAGGUCUCAAGCGUUGUUCGGAUUCAUUGGGCGUAAAGGGUGCGUAGGCGGCGCGGUAAGUCGGGUGUGAAAUCUCGGAGCUUAACUCCGAAACUGCAUUCGAUACUGCCGUGCUUGAGGACUGGAGAGGAGACUGGAAUUUACGGUGUAGCAGUGAAAUGCGUAGAUAUCAGGAGGAACACCGAUGGCGAAGGCAGGUCUCUGGGCUGACACUGACGCUCAUGCACGAAAGCGUGGGGAGCAAACAGG
rnacentral:rRNA from 1 species